AGAUUGAACGCUGGCGGCAGGCCUAACACAUGCAAGUCGAGCGGUAGAGAGGUGCUUGCAUCUCUUGAGAGCGGCGGACGGGUGAGUAAUGCCUAGGAAUCUGCCUAGGUGGUGGGGGGAUAACGGUUCGGAAACGGACGCUAAUACCGCAUACGUCCUACGGGAGAAAGCGGGGGACCUUCGGGCCUCGCGCCAUUAGAUGAGCCUAGGUCGGAUUAGCUGGUUGGUGAGGUAAUGGCUCACCAAGGCGACGAUCCGUAACUGGUCUGAGAGGAUGAUCAGUCACACGUAGACUGAGACGACGGUCCAGACCUCCGUACGGGAGGCAGCGAGGUGGGAAUAGUUGGACAAGUGGACGAAAGCGUAGAUCGACGCCAGUCGACCGUCGUGGUGUAGGAAGAAGGUUCUUCGGUAUUAGGUAAAGUCCGUAACGUUUAGGUAGGGAAGG
rnacentral:rRNA from 1 species